CGCGUUGACGGGCAUAUUUUUAAAAAACGGAGAGGAACAACGCGCUCGGGGUUCGUUGAAUGACGUUAAUCGCUUUUAGUGUUCUCGUGCGGAUCGUUUAAUGGCAUCUAAUUUCACGUGGCCCUGGGAGAGAGCGAGAGAAAGAGAGAGAGUGAGGGAGAGAGAGGGAGAGAGAGAGAGAGAGAGAGAGUAUUCGGUAGAGUUUACAGCGUCGUAAUUUAUCGACGUCGAGGCUUCGAUCUGCUGCCUGUUGAUCGUGGGAGCCCAGUGUCCUUAACGGGUACAGGGGCCGCCUCCUGGUGUAACUAUCAGCCGUGGGGCCAAGAAACGAGAGACGAUGCCUUCGAUACUUCGACGAUAUAAUCCGCUCUCGUUUUCCUUUGAUCCAUCUUCGACGAAUCGGUGAAACAGUUGGAACAGCCUUCUACUUCGUUGUCAAGUUCGCAAGAAUUAGAUCGGUGGCCGCUCGUAAAAUCUGAUACAUUGUGCGACCAGCCGUGGCGUAUUCGUCAUGUCGAGACACACCGAAGACACGCGAUCGACGAAACGAAAGGAUUGACCCCGUGGAACGUCCGUGACCGACCAUCUUCUUUUUCUCUGCCAGGCACCUACGACUCCAGCGUUCCACGAAGUAUCGAUUUAUGGGGAACGAAACGAAUCAUCGACGCGAUGAUUUCUCAUCGGCUAAAUUCAAACAACAUCGGAUCCAGCGCGUCUUUAAAGCGCUCAGUCGAUCCAUCGGCAAUUUUUCACGCGAUUCCAAUCCACGAGGGAAGCGCGUCUGGCUGACGACGCGGAGGCGGCCCAUGCGAGCCGGCCCGCACAAAGGCGCAUCCUCGCGAGGAAAUUUAUCGCGACGGGACGACGUUUCCCGUGAAAAGCGUCGAAGAAAGAAGAUAGAAAGGAGGCGAGGAGCGCGGAGAACGCAGCAAUCUGGUGAAUAGGCGCGCCUUCCAGAAGCGUCGCGAAUCAAUUCCCGGAUUGACUCUGCACCAGGUUGCCGCGCCGAUUUUUCAGCUUUCUCCAGGCGGAAAACUCGCACGUCUCGUAUCCAUGGCAUAUUUGCCUGGUUACUGAAUGGAAAAUGGAUCGACAAGAAUGCAAUAUCGGAACUCGCGAACAAUCGUUCGAUGUCAGGUAAUAGAGACGAUAUCGAUAUGCCAAGAAUUUUUGUUACCUUUGAUCGUUGAGCGAAGCCCUUCGUGUUUAAGGUAUUUAUUUAUUUAACGAUUAUUUAACGUGCUUUACUAUCAUUAUGGUUACUAUAGUGAUCGAUACUGGACUUGUCAUUGGCGAUGUGCAAGUUAAUUAAAGCAUUCGAUUUAAAGAAACGUUGAUGGAAAUUCUUUGAUACUUUUGAUAUCACUUUGAUCAAUCAUUUUGAUUUAAAGUGUCAGUUGCAUAUAACUUGAUAUAAAAUACUUGGCAAAAGUGUUCGUGUACCCUAUCUCAAUCAACAUAGAUCAUAUCUUAUUCUACAAAAAUACUCGAACAACUAAGAAGACAAAGUUUCGCCAAGUCUUAUUAUUUCAAAGUAUAUCUAGAUUACGUUAAUACUUUGACUGCCACGUUGGUCAUAUAUAACCGGCCACAGUUUCUCCUGUGAUGCCACGGUGGUCAUUGGUGACCAAAUCUCUUGAACUUCUCACAAUUGUAAAAAUUGUAUGAAAACUGACAAUUAGGGCGUUUUGAAUAUAACCGAUAAAUAGAAGAUACUUUGAAAUAAAAAGUGGCCCAUUGAACGAUUAAACAUUUUUAUUAAAACAUCAAUAAAAAAAAAGUGAGAGCAAAUCUUACAGCUAAUGGCGCACUGCGUUUGCAUCCAUAUCUUUGAGGGGUAAUCUACGAAUAUUAUUAUAAACACACCUUAGGAAAUAAUCGUAGAUGCUUAGAAGUGUGCACAUACCUUACUAUUAUAUAUAAAAUGAGCGAAUACUGUUCACUAACAUCUUCUACACGUUUCAACAAUAUAUUCUGCACGUUUUGCUUACGACGAAAUGUCGAACGCGAAUGAUUUGUUGAAAUAAACGAAGCCUUGUUAUAAUAUGUCGCUAUUAACUGUUACCAAAGCGCCACGAUGGUCACCCAUGACCACCAAUAAGAUAAACCAUUCAUUGGGGAAGAAUGUUGCCUUACAUCAUCAAUUUAUUAUUAUUUUGCCAUUAUAUG
rnacentral:lncRNA from 1 species